CGAAUGAAGGGGCGUAGGGAGAGAUGGGAGGGCAGUGGAGGGGUAGAGCUGUCCCUUACAGGUGCAGCAGGAGGCAAAAGACUCGAUCAGGACCAAGUUCCGGGGGCCAGCGUUCCACGUAGAGUGGCCAGCAAGGAGCCGGCCCCAGCGGGAGAGCAGACAGGGCGUGCUGCCCACAGGGCCGGCUCACCUCUCCUCUUUCUGGACAUGCCUUGCUGGAGGUAAAGUACAGGACUGCACCUAGGUGAGUGGAAACCCCCUGCGGGAGGGGGUAGGGGUCGUGGGCUGCCGCAGCGCCUGCCUUCUGUGGCUGUCCUGUGACUAUCAGGUUGGGCGCCUUCAACUUCUAACACCCCCCCACCCGACCCCCCGCCAGAUGGUGAGAUUGGUUAGAUGGUGAGCGGCCCUGCGCCCUUCCCUGCCUGCCAGCGCCAGGAGCUCCUGUGACUUCAGACCCUCUUCCCCCAGGCUCCUCGCUCCCGCCCCACAGCUGCAGGUGUACCUGCUAGAUAGAAUUCACCGACACUUGCGUCCUCUGCUUUUUUCUCUGGGCAUCUUCCCCGGCCCGUUCUGUCCCCGGCUGGUAGUCGUGGGGGACAAGGUGCCCCAGGCGCUGGCCUCAGGGACGGCGUACAGAGCGGGCCCCUGUGUCUCUGCGCCUGCAGCUCGAACCCUGCAGGAUCCCCUCUGCCUCCGCAGGGCUGGGCCUGCUCCUCGAUCUCUGCAGGAGAGGACCCCGGACUUCUGCUUCUUGGGGGGGGGGGGCAGAGAGGACAGGAUGCCUGAAUGGCUCACGUUUGCUCUGAAAUCACAAUUCUGAUUCCAGAGUCUUUAAUGCCAUUUUGUCCUUUUAGAGGCUUAUUUUUUACUUAAAAAGUGUGUGGGGUGCGUAGACCCAGCCGUGGGAGGCCCGUCGGGAAGUUCCGGGUUGCACGGGAAAAUAGGGGUGGGGCACGCGGAAGGGCGGCAGGGAAUGCAGUCCGGCAUUUUCAGGCAGACCUCAGGGGGACGCAGACGCGCUGCGGACGGUUCUGUGGUUCAGCGGCAUUUUGUAACCGUGAACUCCAGUUUAGCUUUUUUUCUUUUCAAUUUUUAAAAUAUGUUUUAUUUAUUUUUGAGACAGAGAGAGACAGAGCAUGAGCAGGGUAGGGGCAGAGAGAGAGGGAGACACAGAAUCUGAAGACAGGCUCCAGGCUCUGAGCUGUCAGCACAGAGCCUGAUGCGGGGCUCGAACCCACGAACGUGAGAUCAUGACCUGAGCUGAAGUUGGAGGCUUAGUGGACUGAGCCACCCAGGCGCCCCCUCCAGUUUAGCUUUGACCGGUGAACCCGGGAGGGUCUGUGUGGACACUAAGAUCGCAGCCCACUGAUGUCCCAAUUAAAUGUUUUCUUUUGAUUUCAGGACAAGUUGUUAGCUGUUAGCAUUUGUUAUUUUUUCCUUCUGUUGCCACCCCUUCCUGGAUCACGGGGCAGUUGGGUGCAAAUCAAACGGUUCACUGU
rnacentral:lncRNA from 1 species